GAGGGCAAGUCUGGUGCCAGCAGCCGCGGUAAUUCCAGCUCCAAUAGCGUAUAUUAAAGUUGUUGCAGUUAAAAAGCUCGUAGUUGGAUUUCUGUUAAUAAUUUAUAUAAAAUAUUUUGAUGAAUAUUUAUAUAAUAUUAACAUAAUUCAUAUUACUAUUUUUUUUAGUAUAUGAAAUUUUACUUUGAGAAAAUUAGAGUGCUUAAAGCAGGCAUAUGCCUUGAAUACUCCAGCAUGGAAUAAUAUUAAAGAUUUUUAUCUUUCUUAUUGGUUCUAAGAUAAGAAUAAUGAUUAAUAGGGACAGUUGGGGGCAUUUGUAUUUAACAGUCAGAGGUGAAAUUCUUAGAUUUGUUAAAGACAAACUAAUGCGAAAGCAUUUGCCAAGGAUGUUUUCAUUAAUCAAGAACGAAAGUUAGGGGAYCGAAGACGAUCAGAUACCGUCGUAGUCUUAACCAUAAACUAUGCCAACUAGAGAUUGGAGGUUGUUCCUUACUCCUUC
rnacentral:rRNA from 1 species